ensembl:lncRNA
UCUUCAUAUGUUAUAGUUUUGAAAAAUGAACUACCUCUCAGUCUUUUCAGAAGGUGUUAUGAUCAGCAGUGAGUGAGGAAUGUUUAGCCAAAUGGUUCUCCUCCACCACGCUUCACAUACCACCUCUGUAAUCAGUGGUUCCUGGUGGCCAAGUCCCUUUACCCCUGCCCUGUGCUCUGCUGACAACCUGUUUUGGAUCCUAAGACCAGAUAGAUAACCAAGCUUAGUACAAUUCUUGAUAAAAUAGGAGAAAAAAGCUCUGCGUUGUUUUUAAGAAAUUUGGUUCUGGUCAAUGAGUCCCCUGGAUAAAUGUGUUAGUUCUCACAUUGUAAUUGACUCUGAGCUUUAAAAAACGUGGGUGCCAAUCCUGUGAACAUCCUGUGCUGAAAGUCACCAAGUAUUUAUUAAGGAACAGUCCCUUCCUCUCCUCUGGUAUGUCAUCUGCUCAUGUAAUUGAUGACGUGGAUGUGAUUAAAACCCUGGGGAUUCUCUUGCCCAGCCACUCACUGUAUUAAGAUGAAAAAUUUCAUGCCUUUCAUUAAAUCAUUUCUUGAAGUUGAUAGUUAGGCAGCCAGGACACCUUGUCCCAGAGAUGGCAAGGACUCUGGGCAGCAAGGAGGUCCAGCCUCAGGAGUUGUCCAGCCCUGAGGAAUAGGUACCCACCAUCCUGGGUGCAGAUACAAGAGCCGGGCAGAGGAAAGAGUCUGUACUUGGGCACAAAUUACAGAAACAAGUAAAGAGCGUGGUGUCCAAGGAGGAGUUUCCGUGACUGGCCCAGUGAUUCUGGCUGUCACACAUUUGUGAGGAAGGGCUGCUUUCCUCAGGAGGACUUGGUUAACCAGCAUCAUUGUUAACACUGAGCCUUCUGUCUCUCAGUUAAGAAUCUCCUUGUCCUCAGAUUUUUUUCUCAGAAAAUAAAGGUGAAAAGUCUUUGCUGAGGCCCAUAAAUGAUUGAGAAUUAGUUCAUAUUAGACGAGGUGUUAAUUCUUGGUGCUGGAAGAGGACAGAAGGUAGAAUAGUGUAAUGGGAGUGUCACUUCCUGCAGGAGGGGAGGAGAAACCUGGGAUACUUACAGUGCAGGGUCAUGUGGGUGGAAUUCAACACUGCAGUCUGUUUCUUGCACUAUUACUAACUGGUUUUUCUCCCUUGUAAGCCAAGAAUGUCUGCAUCAGUUGUCUGUAACUUUGGAAGACUUGCACAAUGGUGUCACCAAGAAACUGGCCCUCCAGAAAAAUGUAAUUUGUGAGAAAUGUGAAGGAGUUGGUGGGAAGAAGGACUCUGUGGAGAAAUGCCCACUGUGCAAGGGGCGAUGGGGAUGCAGGUCCACAUCCAGCAGAUCGGGCCGGGCAUGGUGCAGCAGAUCCAGACUGUGUGUGGAAUGCAAGGGCUAGGGAGAGCGCAUCAACCCCAAGGACCGGUGUGAAACCUGCAGUGGUGCCAAGGUGAUCCGGGAGAAGAAGAUUAUCGAGGUACCUGUGGAGAAAGUGUCUUUCAGAGACGGCAAGGCCACGACUUGAUCAUGAAAAUGAAAAUUCAGCUUUCUGAAGCUCUUUGUGGCUUCAAGAAGACAAUAAAAACACUGGAUGAUCGAGUCCUUUUUAUCACAUCCAGACCAGGUGAGGUGAUAAAGCACGGGGAACUUCGAUGUGUGCGCAAGCGAGGGGAUGCCUAUCUACAAGUCCCCCCUGGAGAAGGGGAUGCUGGUCAUACAGUUCCUAGUGACCUUCCCUGAGCAGCACUGGCUGUCCCUGGAGAAGUUGCCACAGCUGGAAGCCCUGUUACCCCCGGAGGCAGAAGGUGCGGGUCACAGAGGACAUGGAGCAGGCGGAGCUGCAGGAGUUCAGUGCUGGCGAGCAGAGCUGGCGCCCGCAGCGGGAAGCCUAUGAGGAGGAUGAGGAUGGGCCGCGGAGCCGGCGUGCAGUGCCAGGCAGCGUGAUGCAGGGGCGGUGUAACGUUGGCACAAUGAAACGGCGUCCUGUAAUGGCUGUCUGGGGUGUCUUGUGUGUGUUCAGCAUUCUCCACAGCGGAGUGUCUUUGGGUUUCUUUUGCUUUUGUUUUGGUUCUGAUUUAAGUUAAGCUUGGUUCGCAUUUAAAUGUUUUACGUGUUAAUCACCUCAGUCUGCCCAUGGAAUCUGUUUGUCCUCAUCUUCAGGACAGUCCCGGGGAUGCUGGUGACCACGCUGACACUUUGCACUUCAGGUGGCUUUGCUGUUAUUCAGUUCCUGGUAGCACUCAGCCCAGAGCUGCACCCACCCCCUUGCAGGCCGGGAGGCACAGUGGGUAUCUCAGCUGUGUGUGCAGGUGGCUUCUCACCCUGUGCUCUGGCAGUCACCGAAGGCCUGUAUGCAGAGCUGCUGACAGGACAUUUCUGAGUCCAGGUUCAGAUGAGCAUCUUCACAAACAUAGGCAUACACACAGGGCUUUGAGGGCCUGGUCCACGCCCAGCAGGCUGCGUACCCUGGAUGCAGGGUCAGCCUAGUCCCUCGUUCAGUGUCCCCAGAAGGUUGGUGUGGGGCACAAGAGUCUGCUCAUCUCUCCUGGAGAUUCUCUGAACUUCCCAACCCCAUGGGGGGACAGACCACUGUCUUAAGUGAUCUCAGACCCACCAUUUGCCUGUGACCCAGCCCCUGUUCUCUGGUUUUCAUGAUCCUCUGUUGGAACCCCUGCAACCCUGUCCCACCCAAGUGCUUACUUGAAAACAAAACCCUCUCAUAUCCCUGGCAGCCUCAGACAGCAGCAGAAGCCAAGGGUGGACGCUGGUCUGGCCCACAGAUGGUGGGUUCUCCUGCCUGGUGACCCUGGGUGACUUGAAGGAUUGGGAAGGCACAGAUCAUCCCAGUGUCCCUUCCAUGUUCUCUAAGCUGGGCUCCUUCUUGAAGGGUCGUUCCGUACUGCACAGCCAUAUCCCAAAGGGUGUCCUGCUCAGGUGACACUGGUGGGACAGGCACACAAGCAGGCUCUCCUCUGUCGAUUCCUGCUGUCGAUGCCCAGUUCAGGGCACGUUAGCCAUUGCUUCUUUCCUGGCAAGCAGACUACACCUCAAAUCAGCAUUACCUCAACAUCAGGAUAUCACCACUCCUUUCUUUUCAGUCAUGAAGAGAAACCACUACCUUUGAGUGUCAGGUGCACCUUUGUCUGGUAAUACGAUGCUCAAGUCAAACCCAGACAAAGACACCCAGGAGGGCCACAGGAGAGGCCACGGGGUGACCAGGCUUUAGGAGCACUGCUGGCUGGUGGGACACAGCUGGUCCAGUACAGAGAACCCACCUGUGCCUGCCUCAACUGCUGGCCAGGAAACUUAGAACCAAUUCUUCCAACCAAGCCUACAUGAAAAUCAACUUAUAGGGCUGGGAAUUUAGCUCAGUGGUUUCACCAAGGACCCAAGUUCGAUCCCCGGUACCAAAAAAAAAAAAUCAACUUAUAAAUGGACCACCACUCCAGGGUGCUGCUCCUGUGCUGUGGCUUCCUGAUAAAUGAUUGCUAGAGAACUAUUGUUUAUUGCUGAGGGAGCAAAAUUACACUUGGCUCUUUCCUGUCACAUACAUGGCUUCUGGAGGGUGUUGCUUCAAAUUUUAUUCCACCUCUACAUCUGUCACUUUAAAAUUAAAAAUGAAGCUGCUAUGAGAGACAA